AGUGAACGCUGGCGGCGUGCUUAACACAUGCAAGUCGAACGAGAACGGAUUAUAGCUUGCUAUAAUUGUCAGCUAAGUGGCGCACGGGUGAGUAAUGUAUAGAUAACCUGCCCUCUAGAAAGGAAUAACAGUUGGAAACGACUGCUAAUGCCCUAUAUGCCUUUAAUACAUAAGUAUGCAAGGGAAACGCUUUAGUGUUAGAGGAUGGGUCUGUAUGGUAUCAGCUAGUUGGUGAGGUAAUGGCUCACCAAGGCUAUGACGACUAACUGGUUUGAGAGUAUGAUCAGUCACGCUGGAAAUGAAACACGGUCCAGACUCCUACGGGAGGCAGCAGUGGGGAAUAUUGCAUAAUGAACGAAAGUCUGAUGCAGCAACGACGCGUGGAGGAUGACACAUUUCGGUGCGUAAACUCCUUUUAUAUAGGAAGAUAAUGACGGUACUAUAUGAAUAAGCACCGGCUAACUCCGUGCCAGCCGCCGCGGUAAUAC
rnacentral:rRNA from 1 species